rnacentral:rRNA from 1 species
AACGAACGCUGGCGGCAUGCCUAACACAUGCAAGUCGAACGAAGCCUUCGGGCUUAGUGGCGCACGGGUGCGUAACGCGUGGGAAUCUGCCCUUAGGUACGGAAUAACUCAGGGAAACUUGUGCUAAUACCGUAUGAUGUCGAGAGACCAAAGAUUUAUCGCCUAGGGAUGAGCCCGCGUAGGAUUAGCUAGUUGGUGGGUAAAGGCCUACCAAGGCGAAGAUCGGUAGCUGGUCUGAGAGGAUGAUCAGCCACACUGGAACUGAGACACGGUCCAGACUCUACGGGAGGCAGCAGUGGGGAAUAUUGGACAAUGGGGGGAACCCUGAUCCAGCAAUGCCGCGUGCGUGAAGAAGGCC